UACGAAGGGUGCAAGCGUUAAUCGGAAUUACUGGGCGUAAAGCGUGCGUAGGCGGUGAGUUAAGUCUGUCGUGAAAUCCCCGGGCUCAACCUGGGAAUGGCGAUGGAUACUGGCUCGCUAGAGUGUGAUAGAGGAUGGUGGAAUUCCCGGUGUAGCGGUGAAAUGCGUAGAGAUCGGGAGGAACAUCAGUGGCGAAGGCGGCCAUCUGGAUCAACACUGACGUUGAGGCACGAAAGCGUGGGGAGCAAACAGG
rnacentral:rRNA from 1 species